rnacentral:rRNA from 1 species
UGGGGAAUUUUGGACAAUGGGGGAAACCCUGAUCCAGCCAUCCCGCGUGUGCGAUGAAGGCCUUCGGGUUGUAAAGCACUUUUGGCAGGAAAGAAACGUCGCGGGUUAAUACCCCGCGGAACUGACGGUACCUGCAGAAUAAGCACCGGCUAACUACGUGCCAGCAGCCGCGGUAAUACGUAGGGUGCAAGCGUUAAUCGGAAUUACUGGGCGUAAAGCGUGCGCAGGCGGUUCGGAAAGAAAGAUGUGAAAUCCCAGAGCUUAACUUUGGAACUGCAUUUUUAACUACCGGGCUAGAGUGUGUCAGAGGGAGGUGGAAUUCCGCGUGUAGCAGUGAAAUGCGUAGAUAUGCGGAGGAACACCGAUGGCGAAGGCAGCCUCCUGGGAUAACACUGACGCUCAUGCACGAAAGCGUGGGGAGCAAACAGGAUUAGAUACCCUGGUAGUCCACGCCCUAAACGAUGUCAACUAGCUGUUGGGGUCUUCGGACCUUGGUAGGCGCAGCUAACGCGUGAAGUUGACCGCCUGGGGAGUACGGUC